UCCUACGGGAGGCAGCAGUAGGGAAUCUUCCGCAAUGGACGAAAGUCUGACGGAGCAACGCCGCGUGAGUGAUGAAGGCUUUCGGGUCGUAAAACUCUGUUGUUAGGGAAGAACAAGUGCUAGUUGAAUAAGCUGGCACCUUGACGGUACCUAACCAGAAAGCCACGGCUAACUACGUGCCAGCAGCCGCGGUAAUACGUAGGUGGCAAGCGUUAUCCGGAAUUAUUGGGCGUAAAGCGCGCGCAGGCGGUUCUUUAAGUCUGAUGUGAAAGCCCCCGGCUCAACCGGGGAGGGUCAUUGGAAACUGGGGAACUUGAGUGCAGAAGAGGAAAGUGGAAUUCCAAGUGUAGCGGUGAAAUGCGUAGAGAUUUGGAGGAACACCAGUGGCGAAGGCGACUUUCUGGUCUGUAACUGACGCUGAGGCGCGAAAGCGUGGGAAGCAAACAGGAUUAGAUACCCUGGUAGUCCACGCCGUAAACGAUGAGUGCUAAGUGUUAGGGGGUUUCCGCCCCUUAGUGCUGCAGCUAACGCAUUAAGCACUCCGCCUGGGGAGUACGGCCGCAAGGCUGAAACUCAAAGGAA
rnacentral:rRNA from 1 species